rnacentral:piRNA from 1 species
UGAUGACGUUGCUAACACGAACCCUAGC